GACGAACCGUCCGAACGUUAUUCGGAAUCACUGGGCUUACAGAGUUUGUAGGCGGUCCGGUAAGUUAGAUGUGAAAUCCCUUGGCUUAACCAAGGAACUGCGUUUGAAACUACCGGACUCGAGGGAGAUAGAGGAAAGCGGAACUGAUGGUGGAGCGGUGAAAUGCGUUGAUAUCAUCAGGAACACCGGUGGCGAAGGCGGCUUUCUGGGCCGAAAUUGACGCUGAGGAGCGAAAGCGUGGGGAGCAAACAGG
rnacentral:rRNA from 1 species